rnacentral:rRNA from 1 species
CGGUGUUUAACUGGCGUGAUGUGGGACGUCCUACCGGUGGGCUUAGCCUCGCGAGGGGCGGCCCAACUAAUAUCCCGUCGCGGUGCUCUUUACUGAGUGUCGAGUCGGGCCGGUACGUUUACUUUGAACAAAUUAGAGUGCUUAAAGCAGGCUAUCCUCGCCUGAAUACUGCGUGCAUGGAAUAAUGGAAUAGGACCUCGGUUCUAUUUUGUUGGUUUUCGGAACCCCGAGGUAAUGAUUAAUAGGGACAGAUGGGGGCAUUCGUAUUGCGACGUUAGAGGUGAAAUUCUUGGAUCGUCGCAAGACGGACAGAAGCGAAAGCAUUUGCCAAAAAUGUUUUCAUUAAUCAAGAACGAAAGUUAGAGGUUCGAAGGCGAUCAGAUACCGCCCUAGUUCUAACCAUAAACGAUGCCAGCUAGCGAUCCGCCGAAGUUCCUCCGAUGACUCGGCGGGCAGCUUCCGGGAAACCAAAGCUUUUGGGUUCCGGGGGAAGUAUGGUUGCAAAGCUGAAACUUAAAGGAAUUGACGGAAGGGCACCACCAGGAGUGGGAGCCCUGCGGCUUAAUUUGACUCAACACGGGAAACCUCACCAGGCCCAGACACCGGAAGGAUUGACAGAUUGAUAGCUCUUUCUUGAUUCGGUGGGUGGUGGUGCAUGGCCGUUCUUAGUUGGUGGAGCGAUUUGUCUGGUUAAUUCCGAUAACGAACGAGACUCUAGCCUGCUAAAUAGGCGUACCUUAUGGUAUCGCGAAGGCCCCCGGCUUCGGCCGGUGGGUUUUUACUACCAACGUACAAACAAAUCUUCUUAGAGGGACAGGCGG